CAGAAACUUAUCAAAAGGUCUUUUAAAGAUAUCAACGACCAUAAAAUGAAAAAAUCAUUGGAGAUUGGCUUAACCAAGCACACACAAGAGUUGUUUGUUGUCCUAGGCCGGUGCCAAAUUUAACAUCAUAGCAGAGGACAUCAUCUUAAAUUUUUGUUCUGUUAAAAUUAUUGUUUGUCUUGUAACUUAGGCCGUUAUUUUGGGUUUUUUUUACAAUGCCAUAUUUAAAAUGUUAUAAUCACUGGAAAAUUUGCAACUAAUAAAAGUUUGAAUAACUUGUGUAAGAGUUAA